rnacentral:sRNA from 1 species
UGAAAGACGCGCAUUUGUUAUCAUCAUCUCAUCCCUGACAACAGAGAUGUUAAUUUGGCCACAGUGAUUGUGGCCUUUUUC